UGGUGGAGUGAUUUGUCUGGUUAAUUCCGAUAUCGAACGAGACCCCGUCCUACUUACUAGACUUGAGAUGAUUUUCAUCUCUUGAAUCUUCUUAGAGGGACAACUGGUGUAAAUCUAGCUACAUGAAAUGGGGCAAUAACA
rnacentral:rRNA from 1 species